GGCAGUUCUCAGGUGAUGCACCCCAGAAUUGGGCUCCCUCCUCUCUGGUUCUGGGUGCGUCACCCGAGAACCACA
rfam:Myotis lucifugus cont2.36441, whole genome shotgun sequence.